CGGGACAGUGCUGUGCCGGACAGCCUCGGCCAGGUCCAUCUUGCUGGAGCCCAUCUACUGGGAUUCCUCCAAUGCCAAGAUUUUUUUAUGUGGGGAGAAGUGCCUGGAUCAACCAAUUCAGAAGCUGCUCCAAUCAGCAGAUGAAGAAGCCAUUACUGCAUUUUUGGAAGAAAACUUUAAAUCUCCCAAAUGAAUGAUGACUCAUUAUUGACAUUAUGCCACCAGGUUCCAGAUGCCAGCAGGAUGCCUACCAGACUUCCCUGGACAGACGAGCCCACUAGUGUGUCCUGGAUCUCUGCUUCCCCAGAGACCCACCCCACUAGGGAAAGAGAGAGGCAGGCUGGGAGUAUGGAUCGACCAGUCAAUGCCCAUGUUCUGCAGGGAGCAAAUACAGAAGCCAGAUCUUCCACCCUCUACAACCCACUAUGACCUUGGGUCCAUACUCCCAGAGGAAAAAAGAAUAGAAAGGGUAUCAGGGGAGGGGAUGAGAUAUAGAGAUCUGGUGGUGGGAGUUGUGUGGAGUUGUACCCCUUCUAUCCUACAGUUUUGUUAAUGUCUCCUUUUUAAGAUAAAUAAAUCUGGAAGAAGGGCAGAGGGUAGAUAGCAUAAU